rnacentral:rRNA from 1 species
UACAGAGGGGGCAAGCGUUGUUCGGAAUUACUGGGCGUAAAGGGCGCGUAGGCGGCCUGUUAAGUCGAACGUGAAAUCCCCGGGCUCAACCCGGGAACUGCGUCCGAUACUGGCAGGCUUGAAUCCGGGAGAGGGAUGUGGAAUUCCAGGUGUAGCGGUGAAAUGCGUAGAUAUCAGGAGGAACACCGGUGGCGAAGGCGGAUCUCUGGGCCAUUACUGACGCUGAGGAGCGAAAGCGUGGGGAGCGAACAGG